CAUACUUCUUCCUCUGUACUUGAGGUAGAAAUGCUGGAAUAGAUCCUAUAUUCAUGCCUAAUCAUUACUAUUAUCUUUGCUUCCAAACUACUUACUCAAUAACAUUUCUAGAGGCUCAUCUUUUUUUAAUAAGAUAGGCACUGAGUUAAGUUAUGCACAUUUAUGUAGUUACCUUCCAACAUAAAUCAAUGUGUAUGAAAGAUAUGACUUAAGCUUCUAUAUUAUUCAGUAACUAGUAUAGAAGAUUACCUUACAAUAUGAAGGAGAAAUGUCAGAGGGAGCUGCUGCCCCUUUGAAAUUUGCUGCAAUGAUUGAGAAGCCCAGUUGGUAGCACAAGAGAUCUUUGACUCUGACCAUAUUCUCCAGGCUAUAAAUUGAGAAGCAACUUAAGACAUUUUCACACAACAUCCCACAUCUCUCACACUUCCUCUCUUUUAAAUCUCUCUCUUAUACACACCUGAAGGGAAGUUCAGGUAUCCUCAGAGGGAAAAAAUGAAGGCACCACAGAUUGCACUGAGCAUCUUGGUGAUGUUUAUCAUGGUGGAGGUCUCAGUGGCAGUGACUUGCAGUCCAGUGCAACUGAGCUCCUGUGUGAGUGCAAUUACAUCUGCAGUUCCACCUUCUAAGCUCUGCUGCUCUAAGAUUAAGGAACAGAAACCCUGCCUCUGCAAGUACAUGCAGAACCCCACCCUCAAGAAGUUUGUGGACUCUCCCAAUGCCAGGAAAGUUGCUAACACCUGUGGAACUCCAUUUCCCAAGUGCUAAGAUUUGGCCCCCCCACCCAAAGGCCUUCCUCCAUCAAGGGGACAAAGAGACCUGUCAUUUCUACUGGCCUGCAUCCAAUAUUAUGUGUUUGAUAUUAGUUAAAAGAUAAUCUAUAUGUGUGUGUUUGACUUCAGUGAGUGUAUGUUAUUGAGAUGGGAGUAAUAUCGUGUUGGAUCCUGCUCUUAUGACAUCCCCUUUUUCUUGUCUUAGAUCUUGUUCUGUUAUGUUGUUUGUAAUAGUAAUCAGAUUUGGACCAAA